rnacentral:rRNA from 1 species
GACGAACGCUGGCGGCGUGCUUAACACAUGCAAGUCGAACGGAAAGGCCCUGCUUUUGUGGGGUGCUCGAGUGGCGAACGGGUGAGUAACACGUGAGUAACCUGCCCUUGACUUUGGGAUAACUUCAGGAAACUGGGGCUAAUACCGGAUAGGAGCUCCUGCUGCAUGGUGGGGGUUGGAAAGUUUCGGCGGUUGGGGAUGGACUCGCGGCUUAUCAGCUUGUUGGUGGGGUAGUGGCUUACCAAGGCUUUGACGGGUAGCCGGCCUGAGAGGGUGACCGGCCACAUUGGGAAUGAGAUACGGCCCAGACUCCUACGGGAGGCAGCAGUGGGGAAUAUUGCACAAUGGGCGGAAGCCUGAUGCAGCAACGCCGCGUGCGGGAUGACGGCCUUCGGGUUGUAAACCGCUUUCGCCUGUGACGAAGCGUGAGUGGCGGUAAUGGGUAAAGAAGCACCGGCUAAAUACGUG